rnacentral:rRNA from 1 species
UACGUAGGGUGCAAGCGUUGUCCGGAAUUAUUGGGCGUAAAGAGCUCGUAGGCGGCCCGGUAAGUCCGCUGUGAAAGUCAAAGGCUCAACCUUUGAAUGUCAGCGGAUACUGCCGGGCUAGAGUCCGGAAGAGGCGAGUGGAACUCCUGGUGUAGCGGUGGAAUGCGCAGAUAUCAGGAAGAACACCAACGGCGAAGGCAGCUCGCUGGGACGGAACUGACGCUAAGGCGCGAAAGCGUGGGGAGCGAACAGG